rnacentral:sRNA from 1 species
GAGCGUUGCAACGUGAAGUCUCUGUUC